UGUUCCUUCCAAAACUCAUGUUGAAAUUUAAUCAUUGUAACAGUGUUGAGAGGUGGGACCUUUAAGAGGUGAUUAGGUCAUGAGGGUUCUGCCCUCAUAAAUGGAUUAAUGCCUUCAUCUCAAGCGUGGGUUGGUUAUCACGAGAGUGGGCUCCAUGCGGCAAGAAGACCCUCACUAGAUGUCGACACCAUGCUUUUGGACUUUCUAGCCUCCAGAACCAUGAGCCAAAUAAGUCUCUUUUCUUUAUAAAUUACCCAGACCGUGGUAUUCUGUUGCAGCAACAGAAAACAAAGACAACCAGCUUUUGAAUUUGUUAAAGCCUAUCUAUUGUACUUUUAACUUCACUGAUUUCUUACCUUUCUCAUUUCCUUUCUUCUACUUUAUUUGGGUUUAUCAUGCUAUUUUUUUUUGCAAGUACUUAACUCACUAAUUUUAUUUUAUUUUUUUUCCCCCUACGACACAGGUCUCCCUGUUUUGCCCAGGCUGGAGUGCAGUGGCACAACCAAGGCUCACUGCAGCCUCAACCUCUCCAGACCCAGAGAUGUGGUCUCACUAUGUUGCUCAGGCUAAUCUCAAACUCCUGGCCUCAAGUGAUCCUCUCGUCUCAGCCUCUCAAACUGCUGGGAUUACAGGGUCUUGCUCUGACCCCCAGGCUGGAGUGCAGUGGUACAAUCUCGGCUUACCGCGGCCUCUACCUCUGGGACUCAAGCGGUCCUUCCACCUCAGCCCCCCAGAGUAGCUGGAACUAUAGGCACAUGCCACUGCGCCCGGUUAAUUUUUUGUAAGUUUUGUAGGGGUGGGGUCUUGCCAUGUUGCCCAGGCUUGUCCCUUUUUUUUUUUUUUCCUGAAUAGUAUUCUGGAUGUACUAUAGUUUGUUUAACGAUUCACCUAUUGGAGGACCUCUGGGUUGUUUCCAUUUAUUGCCUGUUACAAUGAAGCUGCGGUAUUCAGCUUAAUUAAGCAAGAUUAAAUACAUGUAUAAAAAAGUAAAGCUGCUAUAAAUAUUCAUAUACAGGUCUUUGAACUUAAAUUUUCAGUUCUCCUGAAUAAAUGUCAAGCAGUACAAUUCCUGGGUUGUGUGGUAGUUUUAGCAUUUAUUUGUUUAU